rnacentral:rRNA from 1 species
UACGUAGGGUGCGAGCGUUAAUCGGAAUUACUGGGCGUAAAGUGUGCGCAGGUGGCCGCGCAAGUCGAGUGUGAAAUCCCCGAGCUUAACUCGGGAAUUGCGCUCGAAACUACGUGGCUCGAGUGUGGCAGAGGAAGGUGGAAUUCCACGUGUAGCGGUGAAAUGCGUAGAGAUGUGGAGGAACACCGAUGGCGAAGGCAGCCUUCUGGGCCAACACUGACGCUCAUGCACGAAAGCGUGGGGAGCGAACAGG